UCCAUACCGCGCCUCCAUUCCAUGGAGGAUGAUGGUACGCUCCUUAUUUCAUAUAGGGAAAUAAUGGAAAAGAAGUUGGGGCACUCCAAAUUAUACAGGAGAGCGGGAACAAAGCUUCAAUUGAGUUUUUCAGGAGCGGUGACGACGAAGACGGCUCAUCAAACAGCCAUGCGCCGCCGACAUGCCGGCUUUCUAAUUUAUUUUUUUGCCAUUCUUUGUCUUUUUUUUCUAUUUUUAUUGUGAAGCAAUAACAGAUUGCAGUGAGCAAGAUCAAUAAAAGUACAAAAAUAAAUUCCUGAACAUAACUGUAGACAGACAGCAUAACAUGACUCACAUCACACACAAUAAGAUAAUUCGCAUAGCAUAAUAUUACUGCUGCUCACCGAGCAGUUGUGACCGUCUUUCCUUGAGUCUACUUCUUUUUCUGGCCAUAACACACACACAAUGUAUUAAAACAUGAAAACAUGAUGCAUGAAUUAUUUAAUCUAAAAAGUCAAAACACUACUGUGCCAUUUUCUUCCUAAUGACAUUAAACAAAUUAAGCAAUUAAUGAAUUGAAUGUCGCUUCAAGCUACGCACUAAUAUUUAAGCUAUUGGUUCAUGCUGAUGUCAUUCUGUAACUAGUGGAGCGUAUUGUGUGUACAGUUAAACAAACAGUUUCGUAUUUUGGAUAAGUGAUAUUACUGCCACGUUUGGCAGCUGCUGAAUCUAACUAAUAAAGCAAUCAGUAAAGUCAUGAAGUUACUUUUUCAACAACUGUGGCAACACUGCGCAAAGCUCUACUGGCUAAUUGACUUUUCUAUUGCUCAGAUAUGGCACAGACUACUCUUUUGAACUAUUAAUUUUUG